UACGUAGGGGGCGAGCGUUGUCCGGAAUCAUUGGGCGUAAAGCGCGUGUAGGCGGCUCGGUAAGUCUGCUGUGAAAGUCCAGGGCUCAACCCUGGGAUGCCGGUGGAUACUGUCGAGCUCGAGUCCGGAAGAGGCGAGUGGAAUUCCUGGUGUAGCGGUGAAAUGCGCAGAUAUCAGGAGGAACACCAAUGGCGAAGGCAGCUCGCUGGGACGUGACUGACGCUGAGACGCGAAAGCGUGGGGAGCGAACCGG
rnacentral:rRNA from 1 species